CUUUUGGUACCCUUAUUCAAUAGGACGUUGUGAACCAGGUCAGGACAGGAAUGUAGCAGCCUUAAGCAAUUAGUUUUAUGUGGGUAAGGGUACCAAAGGGGAG
rnacentral:SRP_RNA from 2 species